rnacentral:rRNA from 1 species
CUUGUAGGUUGCCUUUUAAGUCAGGUGUGAAAUCGUCCCGCUUAACGGGACAAUUGCAUUUGAUACUGAUUGGCUUGAGUGCAGAAAGGGAAACUGGAAUUUCCGGUGUAGCGGUGAAAUGCGUAGAUAUCGGAAAGAACACCAGUGGCGAAAGCGGGUUUCUGGUCUGCAACUGACACUGAGGAGCGAAAGCCAGGGGAGCAAACG